AUUGAACGCUGGCGGCAUGCCUUACACAUGCAAGUCGAACGGCAGCAUGGGUGCUUGCACCUGAUGGCGAGUGGCGAACGGGUGAGUAAUGCGAUCGGAACGUACCCGGAAGUGGGGGAUAACGUAGCGAAAGUUACGCUAAUACCGCAUAUUCUGUGAGCAGGAAAGCGGGGGAUCGCAAGACCUCGCGCUUCCGGAGCGGCCGAUGUCGGAUUAGCUAGUUGGCGGGGUAAAGGCCCACCAAGGCAACGAUCCGUAGCGGGUCUGAGAGGAUGACCAGCCACACUGGGACUGAGACACGGCCCAGACUCCUACGGGAGGCAGCAGUGGGGAAUAUUGGACAAUGGGCGCAAGCCUGAUCCAGCAAUGCCGCGUGUGUGAAGAAGGCCUGCGGGUUGUAAAGCACUUUUCAGUGGGGAAGAACGGGCCAAGGUUAAUACCCCUGGGCUUCUGACGUUACCCACAGAAGAAGCACCGGCUAACUCCGUGCC
rnacentral:rRNA from 1 species